rnacentral:rRNA from 1 species
GAUGAACGCUGGCGGCGUGCCUAAUACAUGCAAGUCGAGCGAACAGAUAAGGAGCUUGCUCCUUUGACGUUAGCGGCGGACGGGUGAGUAACACGUGGGUAACCUACCUAUAAGACUGGGAUAACUUCGGGAAACCGGAGCUAAUACCGGAUAACAUUUGGAACCGCAUGGUUCUAAAGUGAAAGAUGGUUUUGCUAUCACUUAUAGAUGGACCCGCGCCGUAUUAGCUAGUUGGUAAGGUAACGGCUUACCAAGGCGACGAUACGUAGCCGACCUGAGAGGGUGAUCGGCCAUACUGGAACUGAGACACGGUCCAGACUCCUACGGGAGGCAGCAGUAGGGAAUCUUCCGCAAUGGGCGAAAGCCUGACGGAGCAACGCCGCGUGAGUGAUGAAGGGUUUCGGCCCGUAAAACUCUGUUAUUAGGGAAGAACAAAUGUGUAAGUAACUGUGCACGUCUUGACGGUACCUAAUCAGAAAGCCACGGCUAACUACGUG